rnacentral:piRNA from 1 species
UUGGGCAAUAUAGUGAGACCCUGUCUCUGC